GAGGUUGACAUGUAGCGUGUUUUACGUGCACAUUUUCACAUAACACCAAAAGGGAAACUCAAGAAUCACAGUUUGUCAUCUCCUGCCCACCUGUGUGUCGACCGGCGGCUCCUCUGAUUGCAGCCGUGUGCUCUGAAGGGAUGUUGGUAGGUGCAAGGGAGUCAAGGAGGAAACUGAAAAGGCUUUGGACCUCAGCUGGAUCCCACAAUACUUCUAAAGCUCAACAGAUACUGGGCUACUUAAAUCCAGCGUAAAAGUUCCUCAGUUUCACCACCAGAGGGGGCUGCUAUUUGAUACACACAACACAAAACAACUUAAAAAAAAAAGACAAUAAUAACAUUUACUAUGUUUUACUAAA